CCUACGGGCGGCUGCAGUGGGGAAUAUUGGGCAAUGGGCGAAAGCCUGACCCAGCAACGCCGCGUGAGGGAAGAAGGUCUUCGGAUUGUAAACCUCUGUUCUUGGUGACGAAAAAGAUGACGGUAGCCAAGGAGAAAGCCCCGGCUAACUACGUGCCAGCAGCCGCGGUAAUACGUAGGGGGCAAGCGUUGUCCGGAAUCACUGGGCGUAAAGGGUGAGUAGGCGGUUAUUUAAGUUGGGUGUGAAAUCCCCGGGCUUAACCUGGGAAUCGCACUCAAAACUGGGUAACUAGAGUGUCGGAGAGGAAAGCGGAAUUCCUGGUGUAGCGGUGAAAUGCGUAGAUAUCAGGAGGAACACCGGUGGCGAAGGCGGCUUUCUGGACGAUAACUGACGCUGAGGCACGAAAGCGUGGGGAGCAAACAGGAUUAGAUACCCUUGUAGUC
rnacentral:rRNA from 1 species